rnacentral:rRNA from 1 species
GAUGGAGCGAUGCCAUGUGAAUGAUGAAGGUCUUUUUGAUUGUAAAGUUCUUUUAUUGGGGAAAAUGAUGAUGGUACCCGAUGAAUAAGUGACAGCAAACUAUAUGCCAGCAGCUGCGGUAAUACAUAGGUCGCAAGCGUUAUUCGGAUUUAUUGGGCGUAAAGCAAGCGCAGGCGGACGAGUAAGUUCUGUGUUAAAAACAGCAGCUCMACUGUUGUUUGCGCCGAAUACUGCUCGUCUAGAAUACGGUAGAAAGUUUNGGAAUUGAAUAUGGAGCGGUGGAAUGUGUAGAUAUAUUCAAGAACACCAGAGGCGAAGGCGGAAACUUAGGCCGCUAUUGACGCUUAGGCUUGAAAGUGUGGGGAGCAAAUGGGAUUAGAUACCCCAGUAGUCCACACCGUAAACGUUGGAUAUUAGAUGUUGGAACUUGAGUUUNAGCGUUGUAGCUUACGUGUUAAAUAUCCCGCCUGAGUAGUACAUAUGCAAAUAUGAAACUCAAAUGAAUUGACGGGGAUGCAUGGAUAUCGAAUUCC